UACGGAGGGUGCAAGCGUUAAUCGGAAUUACUGGGCGUAAAGGGUGCGUAGGUGGUUUGUUAAGUUAGCUGUGAAAUCCCUGGGCUUAACCUGGGGUGGUCAGCUAAGACUGAUGGACUCGAGUAUGGGAGAGGGUAGUGGAAUUUCCGGUGUAGCGGUGAAAUGCGUAGAGAUCGGAAGGAACACCAGUGGCGAAGGCGGCUACCUGGCCUAAUACUGACACUGAGGCACGAAAGCGUGGGGAGCAAACAGG
rnacentral:rRNA from 1 species